CCCUUAGAUGUUCUGGGCUGCACGCGCGCUACACUGAAGCGUUCAACGAGUAUUCACCUUGCCCGGGAGGGUUGGGUAAUCUUUUGAAAACGCUUCGUGAUGGGGAUAGAUUAUUGCAAUUAUUAAUCUUCAACGAGGAAUUCCUAGUAAGCGCGAGUCAUCAGCUCGUGCUGAUUACGUCCCUGCCCUUUGUACACACCGCCCGUUGCUCCUACCGAUUGAGUGAUCCGGUGAAUAAUUCGGACUGCAGCACUGCUUGGUCUCCAGGCUUUGCAGCGGAAAGUUUAGUGAACCUUAUCACUUAGAGGAAGGAGAAGUCGUANCA
rnacentral:rRNA from 1 species